UACGUAGGGCGCAAGCGUUAUCCGGAAUUAUUGGGCGUAAAGAGCUCGUAGGCGGUUUGUCGCGUCUGCCGUGAAAGCCCGGGGCUCAACCCCGGGAGGCGGAUGGAUACUGCAGGGCUCGAGUACGGAAGAGGCGAGUGGAAUUCCCGGUGAGCGGUGAAAUGCGCAGAUAUCGGGAAGGAACACCAAUGGCGGAAGGCAGCUCGCUGGGACGUUACUGACGCUGAGACGCGAAAGCGUGGGGAGCAAACAGG
rnacentral:rRNA from 1 species